AGAAAGGGAGAGAGAGAGAGAGAGAAAGAGAAAGAAAGAGGGAAGAAACAAAAGAAAGAGAAGAAGGAAGAAUCAAAUUAUCUUUAGUCACACACACUACAUUGCAUCUAUCUCUUUUCAUUUCAUUGAAACACGCUGUCUAGAGGAACGGCUCGCAACGAGGAAUCGAUUUGGAACAAAGCCAGCAGAACGGAGCUGCCAUCACAGAGACUUCUCCACAUGUGGACAUCGCCGUCCCGACUUAGGAUCGGCCGGGCACCCAGGAAAAAGUCGACUCCUUAAUCUGAACUGGGCCAAUUAUCGCGACUGCUGAAGUAUGGAGCAUCCGGAAGGUUUUAGAAGGAAGUUAUCCUUCUUGGGCUUUGUUAAAAGACCAUCGCGAUUAUACGUGCCGAGCAGACUGAAACCGACACUCAACUUUGAAAUAUAUAUAAUAUGUUAUCGUUAAAGCACAGAAAUCAUUUAUUCUACAGAUUAUCUAGAUAAUGUGAAGAUUAACUAAGACGAUCAAAAUUCAUUUCAUUUCAUUUCUCAAAUUAUUUUAGAUAAUCUGCACGUUACUUAACAGACACUCGUU
rnacentral:lncRNA from 1 species